rnacentral:rRNA from 1 species
CAACCUGCCCACCACUUGGGGAUAACCUUGCGAAAGUAAGACUAAUACCCAAUGAUAUCUAUAGAANACAUCUGAAAGAGAUUAAAGAUUUAUCGGUGAUGGAUGGGGAUGCGUCUGAUUAGCUUGUUGGCGGGGUGACGGCCCACCAAGGCAACGAUCAGUAGGGGUUCUGAGAGGAAGGUCCCCCACAUUGGAACUGAGACACGGUCCAAACUCCUACGGGAGGCAGCAGUGAGGAAUAUUGGUCAAUGGGCGGGAGCCUGAACCAGCCAAGUAGCGUGCAGGAAGACGGCCCUAUGGGUUGUAAACUGCUUUUAUAAGGGAAUAAAGUGAGUCUCGUGAGACUUUUUGCAUGUACCUUAUGAAUAAGGACCGGCUAACUCCGUGCCAGCAGCCGCGGUAAUACGGAAGGUCCGGGCGUUAUCCGGAUUUAUUGGGUUUAAAGGGAGCGUAGGCCGGAGAUUAAGCGUGUUGUGAAAUGUAGAUGCUCAACAUCUGAACUGCAGCGCGAACUGGUUUCCUUGAGUACGCACAAAGUGGGCGGAAUUCGUGGUGUAGCGGUGAAAUGCUUAGAUAUCACGAAGAACUCCGAUU